rnacentral:lncRNA from 1 species
UAUUGCGUUUCAGAGCCACGAUUUUAGUCUUAUAUCUAGGUCGGGUAAAAUUAUAGUAAUGUACAAAACAAAACAACUAUAAAUACAUUUUGUUUUUAUUAAACGCAAUAUUCCAUUUUUAUCUCUUUUCUCAUUUAAUAAUGUGUAUAUAUAAAGCUUCAAUAUUUAUCAGGAUUUUGUGACUAUGUAUGUUCGGGUGUCUUUAACGCCUUUGUUUGAAACCAAAAGAGGAAUCGACUGAAAGUUACUUAGUUUAAUCAACGGCAUGAAGAGUACAGCAAGAGGUUAUGAAAGAUCCAACAAAUGAAACCCACAAACAACAGGAUGUCCUUAAACUAGUAGCUUCAAGACUCCGCUUCCUUGGCGACGAUCUGCAAAAGAGCUACGAGAAAAAGCGAGAAUCGCAAAAACAGCACGGGAAAAAGCGAGAAUCGCAAAACCAGCACCGUAAAAGGCGAGAAUCGUUAAGUAAAAGGAGAAUGAUCCUUCAGUUGUUAUGCAGACAUCUUCUUUCAGCUAAUGAUGAAUUCACACUGAGAUAUAUUUCAUAAACGAAAAAGAUGACCGAUAAUCAACUGCACCACUGUCAACCUCACUUCCAGAUGAGUCAUUUGAAAAAAGAUGGCACUGGCACACAGUGUUUCAUUCAGUUCCAUAAAGGAGAAGUGAUCACAAGUUGUUUUUGGAAUGAAGAAUAUUUGCCAUAUUUGUGAAUCAGGGGGUUAAAUAAUGCGAUUUGAUUAUAUCAAAGUACUUGAAUUCUGAAAUUUGAAAAUAUUGAAUAUGUUUGAAACGUUAAAAGCACUGACCUCCAGGGUUUGGGGUUUGGCUAACAAUCUUUAAAAUUGAAAUUUAGUCAUAUCAUGAACAUUAGAACAGGAGUUUUUGUUUCUAAACUAUCUUAAAAUGCCAAAUCAGGAGAAAAGAAAACACGUCCCGAGUCGGGAAACGAACCCGCGCCGCCGCAGCAAUAAAAUGUUUAUUGCGUUCUUGUCCAAUACACCACGGAAGAAUUAAAUGUUUAAAUGUAAAGCUUUAUAAUAAGGCAGUUUACCUCCGGUACCGCGUUACAAACGCGUUUCAAUUUUGGAUGGAAAAAAGAGUAAAAACAACUAAUUCGCAUGUGUUCUCAUAACAUGUUAUAUGUAAGUAACUAAGUUUUAAAGCCUUCUUAAGAAAUAUAGUAAUGAUUUUCUAAUAUCUAGAAACAUCUAUUUUUUGUUUCCCGUGCGAUCUGGCGGUCAGUGCCUUUUUAAAAUCAUAGGUAAUAACAAUGCACACAAUACUUACAAUGUAAAAUAAUCAUAUGUGAUCAGACACAAUUUAUAAAGUGACUAUAUAUUGUGAGUGUUUGGUUUGAAGAAUGUUAAAUAAAGGGAUGAAGAAAAUGGACAUAUUAAUCACACAAUUGAAUCGGAGCUAUAAAUUGAAUAUAAUAAUCAAAUAUACUCAAAUAUAUUUUUUCUUUAGAAAAUGGUCUUGAUGUGCAACUGUUUCAAAAACUUUAAAAUGAUUUUAUGAAUACAAAUAUAAAACUAGAAAUAUGUCGAACACACGACCUUUGUUGUUGUAAAAGUAUAAAUGAUACUGGUUCAUUUUUGCUAAAUGAACAUUGAAAGAAUGUUUUAACAGAAAUGUAAAAUGACAAUAAAUGAAUGAAUCAUCAUUUCCUUUGAAAUACAUGUAUUAACAUUUACAAACGACAACGUAAUAGUUAGAUAUUAGAUCUAUUUUCCAUGUACUGUAUUUAUUCGAUAAAGAUCAAUGUGUCAUUUUCUGUUUGCUAUAUGAAGCAAAUUGUUACAGCUAAACUUCUAUGUAACCUUGAACUGAACAAUUAUUAUGUGGGUGUAUUCUGCGUAAACACUGAAACGUUUAUUCUGAAGGAGUAAUACCUGUGUUAUUAUUUAAACGUUUAAAGGUUAACUAGUAUAUUCUUUUUUUUCAUACAGACGACAAUAGUACCUUAAAUUUU